GAUGAACGCUGGCGGCGUGCCUAAUACAUGCAAGUCGAGCGAACGGACGAGAAGCUUGCUUUUCUGAUGUUAGCGGCGGACGGGUGAGUAACACGUGGAUAACCUACCUAUAAGACUGGGAUAACUUCGGGAAACCGGAGCUAAUACCGGAUAAUAUUUUGAUCCGCAUGGUUCAAAAGUGAAAGACGGUCUUGCUGUCACUUAUAGAUGGAUCCGCGCUGCAUUAGCUAGUUGGUAAGGUAACGGCUUACCAAGGCAACGAUGCAUAGCCGACCUGAGAGGGUGAUCGGCCACACUGGAACUGAGACACGGUCCAGACUCCUACGGGAGGCAGCAGUAGGGAAUCUUCCGCAAAGGGCGAAAGCCUGACGGAGCAACGCCGCGUGAGUGAUGAAGGUCUUCGGAUCGUAAAACUCUGUUAUUAGGGAAGAACAUAUGUGUAAGUAACUGUGCACAUCUUGACGGUACCUAAUCAGAAAGCCACGGCUAACUACGUG
rnacentral:rRNA from 1 species